GCAUCAUUGGUGUAGUGGUUAGCAUGGGAUCUUCCCAUACCCAAAGCAGGUCUCGACGCGAGUUCGAAUCUCGCAUGAUGCA